rnacentral:lncRNA from 1 species
CCGCACUUCCUGCUGGGAAGCGCCAUGGUCUACUUCCAAGCCGCUUCUCAAGUCCAGCAGCUGCUACACAACAAAUUCGCGGUCAUUUUGGGAGACUCCAUCCAAAGAGCGGUGUAAAAGGACCUGGUGCUUUGCUCCAGAAGCACACACUGCUCACAGCUUCCCAGUUAAAAGCCAAGUACCUUGAGGACUUCUUGGAGGAGCUGUGAUAUGGACCUUCCCCUGACCUAGUGAUCAUCAACUCCUGACUUUGGGAUCUCUCCAGAUAUGGCCGCUGCUCAAUAGAGAGCUUCAGAGAGAACUUGGAACGAGCGUUUGUACGAAUGGACCAUGUUUUGCCAGACUCUUGUUUGCUGGUGUGGAACUUGGCAAUAUCUUUUGGGGAAACUUGUCACUGGAGGUUUCUUUCUGCCAGGCUCCAGCCCUUGGCCGUCUCUCUGCUACAGGAUGUGGUUGAGAGGAACUUCUACAAAGCUACACUAGCAGGGAACUACUGUUUCGUUGUCCUAGAUCUCCAAUUCCGUUUCCAGCAUUGUUGUACACCACCGUCAUCGAGAUUGUGUCCAUUGGGACCAGCAUGCACACCGCCACCUCUCACACUUACUUCUGACCCACUGGGCUGUGGAGCCACCUAAACAUGGCCAUCUCCCAGACCUGUGGGUUGAGGUCUGGCCAGAGAUGGAUCAUUCAUUCCAGGGAAGCCAUUAAACAGCCCCCAGACUUCAGAGAGAAGCUGGCCUUGCCCCUGCUCCCAUCUUUUCAUUUGCCUUCCCUCAUGUCUUCCUUACCCACUUUAGCCCUCACCACCUCCCAUGUUCCCACCCCUGCCCCGGAAUACCCCCUUUUAUCAAGGCCAGCCCUUUCCACCCUGUGAAAUCAAAUACAAUGUAAUGGAGGGCUUCUCAAUGCCAGGAUAUGGCCCUGGAAUGGACUUUGUGCCUGGUCUCCUGCCACCAUCAAUCUCUGGCCCUGUCUCCCAUGCUCAACACCGGGGCCCAGUGGUCCACUGAAGCAAGCCAUGUUGUGUUCUGAACAACCUCUACCAUGUACCAUGGAUCGGGGACCCAUGCAGGCAUCGACUUAGACAUUCAGACAGACUGAUCCACACAUAUAAACAGGACAGACGGGGGCAUGCCCAUUUGGGAACAUGGCCUGGAUAG